UGGGGAAUAUUGGACAAUGGGCGCAAGCCUGAUCCAGCCAUGCCGCGUGAGUGAAGAAGGCCUUCGGGUUGUAAAGCUCUUUUGGCGGGGACGAUAAUGACGGUACCCGCAGAAUAAGCCCCGGCUAACUUCGUGCCAGCAGCCGCGGUAAUACGAAGGGGGCUAGCGUUGUUCGGAAUUACUGGGCGUAAAGGGCGCGUAGGCGGCCCUCUAAGUCAGACGUGAAAUCCCCCGGCUUAACCUGGGAACUGCGUCUGAUACUGGAGGGCUUGAGUAUGGGAGAGGGAUGUAGAAUUCCAGGUGUAGCGGUGAAAUGCGUAGAUAUCUGGAGGAAUACCGGUGGCGAAGGCGGCAUCCUGGACCAUUACUGACGCUGAGGCGCGAAAGCUAGGGGAGCAAACGGGAUUAGAUACCCCCGUAGUCCCUGAGCGGGCUGGCAAGGCGCAU
rnacentral:rRNA from 1 species